GGUUCCAUUCACUGACCCGUACCCCAGCUCCCUCCCAUGGCUCUGCAGCUCCCUUUGGCCGGGAACGGUGGCCAAUAGGCGUUGCAGUGGCGGUGCCUGUAGGCAGCACACACAGAGGUGCCUGGAUCCUCCGCCUAGGAGCCGGACAUGCUGGCUGCUUCCAGGAGCUGUGCGAAGCCAGGACAGACAGGGAGCCUUCCUUAGCCCCACUGCACUGCCAACUGGGAGCCGCCUGAGGUCAGGUUUUCUAAACCUUUUAUCAUGUUUGUUGCUCUCCUCUGGACUCUGCAAUUUGUCUACAUCAGUGUUCCCCAAACUGUGGGGUGUUCGUCCCAGGGGGUGUGGAGGAAUGUUUGGGGAGGUGGAGAGGGAGCUUCACUGAGCCCAUCUUUGGCCCCAGCCCCACUCUGCUCCUAGCCCAGCCAUGGCUCCACCCUGCCUCCUGCUCUGCCCAGGGCCACACUUAAGAGCAGGCGACAGCCUGGGGUGUUUGGCUUGCUGGUGGGGGGAGGGCACACUAAGCUCUCAGUGCUGUUUUUGUUGUUAGCAACAAAAGGGAAAAUAUAAUGUUUAAAGUAAAAUGUCUCGGGGUAUUUCCUAUGUGGAUUCAUUUUUCACUAACCUUCUAGAAUGUUCUGGACCUUUGUAGAACCUUUUAUGGCCUACUACAAAUGGGUGGAGGUCAAGUCCAGGCUCAAGCUGAAUAAAUGUAUAGACGUAGAAAACCAGCGCAGCAUUCAUGUAGAAACUCGGCAUUGGAGGAAUGUGCUCAAGCAUCUGAUCUCAAUUACCCUCUUCCUUGCAAAGAAUAAUUUGCCUUUCUGAGGCUCGUCAGAUAAGUUGUUCACUGAACAUAGUGGUAAUUUCCUCUGUUUGGUAGAGCUCCUUGGAAAAUACGUUGAUGUCAUGCAUGAGCAUCUAUGUUGAGUAGUUUGUAAAGAAGCUGUGGACCAUAACUGCAGUGAAAUAAUUCAAAACAAAUUUAUUGACCUUAUGACAAGGAAGGUGCUUGAUAACCUAUUGAUGCGGCUUCGCCAAAGUGAAGUACUAUGCCAUAAUAAUGGAUUGCACUCCCAACAUUAGUCACAGUGAAAAGAUGACAUUCACAGUAAGAUUUGCCUUGCAUAAUGACAGGUUUCAGAGUAACAGUCGUGUUAGUCUGUAUUCGCAAAAAGAAAAGGAGUACUUGUGGCACCUUAGAGACUAACCAAUUUAUUUGAGCAAUGAAGUGAGCUGUAGCUCACGAAAGCUCAUGCUCAAAUAAAUUGGUUAGUCUCUAAGGUGCCACAAGUACUCCUUUUCUUUUUACAGUAAGAUUUGUUGAUGACGAGGAUGGCUGUAUCCCCGUAAAGGAACACUUUAUCUGUUUCUGGUUUGUGGACAACUCUACUGGAAAAGGCCUAACAGAACUGUUUAUGAACAUUUUGAAUGAGAAUAAAAUAAAGCUUCAGGACUGCUGCAGCCAAGGCUCUGACAACUGCGUGAACAUGAAAGGAAGAAACAGUGGCAUCCAGGCAAGGAUCUUUAUGCUGAAUCCAAGAGCUUGCUUUGUGGCUGCCAUCUCCUCAACCUGGUUGAGUCAGAUGCAGCGUCAUCUUCUUUAGAGUAUAUCAACACUAGAAACAUAACUCAACUUACAUUAGGUUGACUUGCACCAUCGGAGUAAUUACUGUGGUGCCUGAAUGUCCACACUACCCUCCUUGGAUCGGUGGUGCACAUCCUUCCUCACCAAGUGCGCUUCCACCAUCCUAAGAGGGGCAGUGGGAGGAGCUGAGAGCCUGAUCUCUCCACUCCGCUGGCGACUCCCUGGUGGGAGCCCAACUACCCCACAGGCUCCCAGCAAGCUGAUCUCCCCGUUCCCCAUCGGGAGCUGGGGGGUGUGUAUAUGCGGGGGAGAGCCGCUUGGGGCUUCUCACCUUGGCAGGAAGCAGGGGAUAGCUGGGCUCUAGCUACCCAGCUUUCUUGUCAAUUUCAUGGCUCCUGCCAUGAAAUUGACAAAACAGCUAACAGCCCUGUGAUGCACCCCAUAAUGCUUUAUGGGAAUAUGCUCAUGAAUGUAUAUAUGACAUACAUGGCAAAUGUAGCAUAAAACAUAUUCCAGUUAACACAUCUCUAUAAAGGUUAUGAUCUACUGAAUAUAUUCAUCCUAUCUGUAUGCAUGUAUCAUUUUUGUAUUUGAAGUUAUGAAUAUUGGCUGUGUACUUGUUUGAUUUUUAAAUAGCCUUUGUAAGGCAUUUGGUCAGCUUCUUUAGAAAGGAAUGUGCAAGUUAAGUGCCCAGUCAAGAAACACUUAAGCUGACAAUAGACCUUAAUAGACACCAAUCUACAUCUGAGCUUUCCUGGCUAUGUGGCUUGGCCUGUACAGUUUUGGAGUCGCAUGUCCAUGCAUGACUCAAACUCCAUUUUGUACCUGUAAUUCUGCACAGCUGGAGGAAGGGGUUUAGACCCACAAGGAGAAACUAUAUAAAGCCUUGGGAGACCCCUCCAUUUUGUCUUCAGCUGGCUCAAGAGAGAGCCUCUCUGCCACCAAGGAUACCUGAGAGAAACUGGAACAAAGGACAGUAACUACUAGGGGGUGUGAGUGAUUGCUGGACCCAGACUAGAAGGAGACUAGUUUGUAAAAGGAAGCUUACUGGAACACCUCUGAGGGUGAGGUUUUAUCUGUAUUCAAUUUUCUUACUGUAUUAGGCAUAGACUUGCAUGUUUUAUUUUAUUUUGCUUGGUAAUUCACUUUGUUCUGUCUGUUACUACUUGGAACUACUUAAAUCCUACGUUCUGUAUUUAAUAAAAUCACUUUUUACUUAUUAUUUAA